AAGAUAGGGUUUCCUUUAGCAGCUUUACUCUGUUCUCAUGUUGGAAGUGGAUUUUGUGCUGGAAUCAAUUGUUAAAAGGACAGCACUGCCUUGAAGAUGUAUCCAGGCAGAAGAGUUGGUGACUCAACGUUAGCUCACCACAGUCAUAAAAAUGACUGAUUCUCAUGAGCACAGACACUGGAUAGCCCUCCUAUCCGUGCACAGAAGAUGUUGCGAUGAGGACCAUAGCCUCCUGCCUGACUCCCCUCCAAACCCCUGGGGAUAAAAGCCAUGAGUAUCCUGGAAGCUUAGCUCAAGUCCGCAGACAUGCUGCUCUGUGAAAGGACAGGUACUUUUGCAAGCCUAUUGUGUGAGCAGCUGCAUGUCUAUAGAAACUAAUACGGUGAUUCAUUGUUCUGCUGUAAGCUUCAAUAUUUGACAUAAAUUUUGUCAAGGCAACCUUUCCCCCUCUGCUUCUGCUUCUAAUAUUUAAUUGUAACACAUUGUGGUUGCAACAAGCUGAAACCAUUGAGAUUAAAAAAUGAGUUGUAAAAAAAAAUGGAGAAACACAUUCUUUGUGGUGAAUACUAAUCUUGCAAAGCAUUUUAUUUCCGGGGAGGCUGCCAAGAGCAAGUGUGGAAGAGUCGGUAUUGAAAUGACUCAUGGCAUCUGCAGCCUCGGGAGGUCAGAGGAGCAGACAAGGAGAAUAGUCAAGGGCUUGCCUUGGAGGUGGAAGAACACUCCAUCGAGCAGGCAGAGCGAAGCUAUGUCUGGAAGGGAGGAUUCCCAACCUCCACACACUGGGUCAGGGCACCUUCCCUUUUCUGGAUUAGCUUCCGGCCCCGUGGAACAUUCUCCUCUCUUAAGUCAAUCAACUCUGCAAGACUGGAUUGCUUACUCUUGGUUCACUGAAUUCUGGUGGGCUUAGAAAUGACCCCUCUGCCGAGCCUGUGGGAUCUUCUCAACCAGGCCUGUGUGGUCACUCACCUUCUGAGGGUACUAGGGACUGUAGGAUGGAGCCUGCCUGGAGGAGCAGGAGGUGGAUGGACUACAGCAAGCCCAGCUCAAAUGGAGCAGAACAGAGCACAAGGCCCCAAGAUGCUGAGGAGCUGCAGGGAUGCUGAAGAACUUGGUUCUCCAAGCAAACAGCAGCUCAGCCAUCCUGUGCCCACCAGCCGGUCUGUGGACUGAGCACAUUCCCUAAGAGUACGGAAUAGGGAGAGUCAUUGAACCCUUACCUGGGAUUCCAGCCAUCUGUCCUAGCCAUUUGUUUGCAAUUCUUCCCUAAUUUUAUGUGGCUUGGAGUACAUAGACUGGGGACAGUUGACUAAAGGAAGCUGUAUCUAUGUGACUAUUGGGGACACCACCAUCCAUGCUGGGUGAAGACCGCAGUGUAGCUGUUUUGGGUCACCCAAGCUCCUAUAUACAAUCCCUCACCCAUGUUCUGUAGGUAAGGCCAAUAAACUCCCUAGUUGAACUUUGG
ensembl:lincRNA A530053M12Rik RIKEN cDNA A530053M12 gene